GACGAACGCUGGCGGCGUGCAUAAUACAUGCAAGUCGAACGCACGAAGUUGAAGAGCUUGCUCUUUAACCAAGUGAGUGGCGGACGGGUGAGUAACACGUGGGUAACCUGCCCAUUAGAGGGGGAUAACAUUCGGAAACGGAUGCUAAUACCGCAUAGUUUCAGGGAUCGCAUGAUUCUUGAAGGAAAGGUGGCUCCGGCUACCACUAAUGGAUGGACCCGCGGCGUAUUAGCUAGUUGGUGAGGUAAUGGCUCACCAAGGCAAUGAUACGUAGCCGACCUGAGAGGGUGAUCGGCCACACUGGGACUGAGACACGGCCCAGACUCCUACGGGAGGCAGCAGUAGGGAAUCUUCCGCAAUGGACGAAAGUCUGACGGAGCAACGCCGCGUGAGUGAAGAAGGUUUUCGGAUCGUAAAACUCUGUUGUUAAAGAAGAACAAGGAUGAGAGUAACUGCUCAUCCCCUGACGGUAUUUAACCAGAAAGCCACGGCUAACUACGUGCCAGCAGCCGCGGUAAUACGUAGGUGGCAAGCGUUGUCCGGAUUUAUUGGGCGUAAAGCGAGCGCAGGCGGUUCUUUAAGUCUGAUGUGAAAGCCCCCGGCUCAACCGGGGAGGGUCAUUGGAAACUGGAGAACUUGAGUGCAGAAGAGGAGAGUGGAAUUCCACGUGUAGCGGUGAAAUGCGUAGAUAUGUGGAGGAACACCAGUGGCGAAGGCGACUCUCUGGCCUGUAACUGACGCUGAGGCUCGAAAGCGUGGGGAGCAAACAGG
rnacentral:rRNA from 1 species